GACGAACGCUGGCGGCGUGCUUAACACAUGCAAGUCGAACGGAAAGGCCCUGCUUUUGUGGGGUGCUCGAGUGGCGAACGGGUGAGUAACACGUGAGUAACCUGCCCUUGACUUUGGGAUAACUUCAGGAAACUGGGGCUAAUACCGGAUAGGAGCUCCUGCUGCAUGGUGGGGGUUGGAAAGUUUCGGCGGUUGGGGAUGGACUCGCGGCUUAUCAGCUUGUUGGUGGGGUAGUGGCUUACCAAGGCUUUGACGGGUAGCCGGCCUGAGAGGGUGACCGGCCACAUUGGGACGGAGAUACGGCCAGGACUCCUACGGGAGGCAGCAGUGGGGAAUAUUGCACAAUGGGCGGAAGCCUGAUGCAGCAACGCCGCGUGCGGGAUGACGGCCUUCGGGUUGUAAACCGCUUUCGCCUGUGACGAAGCGUGAGUGACGGUAAUGGGUAAAGAAGCACCGGCUAACUACGUG
rnacentral:rRNA from 1 species